rnacentral:rRNA from 1 species
AGAGUUUGAUCCUGGCUCAGGACGAACGCUGGCGGCGUGCUUAACACAUGCAAGUCGAACGAUGAACCACUUCGGUGGGGAUUAGUGGCGAACGGGUGAGUAACACGUGGGCAAUCUGCCCUUCACUCUGGGACAAGCCCUGGAAACGGGGUCUAAUACCGGAUACCACUCUCACAGGCAUCUGUGGGGGUUGAAAGCUCCGGCGGUGAAGGAUGAGCCCGCGGCCUAUCAGCUUGUUGGUGAGGUAACGGCUCACCAAGGCGACGACGGGUAGCCGGCCUGAGAGGGCGACCGGCCACACUGGGACUGAGACACGGCCCAGACUCCUACGGGAGGCAGCAGUGGGGAAUAUUGCACAAUGGGCGAAAGCCUGAUGCAGCGACGCCGCGUGAGGGAUGACGGCCUUCGGGUUGUAAACCUCUUUCAGCAGGGAAGAAGCGAAAGUGACGGUACCUGCAGAAGAAGCGCCGGCUAACUACGUGCCAGCAGCCGCGGUAAUACGUAGGGCGCAAGCGUUGUCCGGAAUUAUUGGGCGUAAAGAGCUCGUAGGCGGCUUGUCACGUCGGGUGUGAAAGCCCGGGGCUUAACCCCGGGUCUGCAUUCGAUACGGGCUAGCUAGAGUGUGGUAGGGGAGAUCGGAAUUCCUGGUGUAGCGGUGAAAUGCGCAGAUAUCAGGAGGAACACCGGUGGCGAAGGCGGAUCUCUGGGCCAUUACUGACGCUGAGGAGCGAAAGCGUGGGGAGCGAACAGGAUUAGAUACCCUCGUAGUCC